GAUGAACGCUAGCGGCAGGCCUAACACAUGCAAGUCGAGGGAGGAGCCUUCGGGCUUCGACCGGCGUACGGGUGCGUAACGCGUAUACAAUCUGCCUUUCACAUAGGGAUAGCCCGAAGAAAUUUGGAUUAAUACCUAAUGGUAUAUAGAUGUGGCAUCACCUUUAUAUUAAAGCUGAGGCGGUGAAAGAUGAGUAUGCGUUCUAUUAGCUAGUUGGAGAGGUAACGGCUCCCCAAGGCGACGAUAGAUAGGGGUUCUGAGAGGGAUAUCCCCCACACUGGUACUGAGAUACGGACCAGACUCCUACGGGAGGCAGCAGUGAGGAAUAUUGGACAAUGGUCGGAAGACUGAUCCAGCCAUGCCGCGUGCAGGAAGACGGCCUUAUGGGUUGUAAACUGCUUUUGCAGGGGAAGAAUAAGGACUACGCGUAGUUUGAUGACGGUACUCUGCGAAUAAGCAUCGGCUAACUCCGUGCCAGCAGCCGCGGUAAUACGGAGGAUGCGAGCGUUAUCCGGAAUCAUUGGGUUUAAAGGGUCCGUAGGCGGGCUAAUAAGUCAGAGGUGAAAGCGCUCAGCUCAACUGAGCAACUGCCUUUGAAACUGUUAGUCUUGAAUGGUUGUGAAGUAGUUGGAAUGUGUAGUGUAGCGGUGAAAUGCUUAGAUAUUACACAGAACACCGAUAGCGAAGGCAUAUUACUAACAAUUAAUUGACGCUGAUGGACGAAAGCGUAGGGAGCGAACAGG
rnacentral:rRNA from 1 species